ACAGCUGCAGGCGAAUGAAACAGCAAUGAAAUUCCUGUAUUACACGUGUUUUCUCACCUGUCUUUGUGCCGUGUUCUGCUUAGGCGAAGCAAUUCAUGGUUUUGGAUUUAAAUCAAAACAAGGUAGAAUUUUGGAGACUGUAAAGAAACUUCUGCAGGGCAGAGGUGAACUCAUGAUAAGCCGCGGCACAUAUGGAAGAUCUGAUUAUCCUAUGUGUGUACGAUCACGCCCGCUUGGAUAUUCAGCUGGUAAAAUUCAUCACAAUUUAAGCUACUACGAAAGAGAUAU